GUGCUUGCUUUGGCAGCACAUAUACUAAAAUUGAAA
rnacentral:snRNA from 1 species